ACGCUAUCAGAAGAGCCUGCGUAGGAUUAGCUUGUUGGUAGGGUAAAGGCCUACCAAGGCGACGAUCCUUAACUGGUCUGAGAGGAUGAUCAGUCACACCGGAACUGAGACACGGUCCGG
rnacentral:rRNA from 1 species